CCUACGGGUGGCAGCAGUGGGGAAUAUUGGACAAUGGGGGGAACCCUGAUCCAGCGACGCCGCGUGAGUGAAGAAGUAUUUCGGUAUGUAAAGCUCUAUCAGCAGGGAAGAAAAUGACGGUACCUGACUAAGAAGCCCCGGCUAACUACGUGCCAGCCGCCGCGGUAAUACGUAGGGGGCAAGCGUUAUCCGGAUUUACUGGGUGUAAAGGGAGCGUAGACGGCAGCGCAAGUCUGGAGUGAAAUGCCGGGGCCCAACCCCGGGACUGCUUGGGAAACUGCGAGGCGGGAGUGCAGGAGAGGUAGGCGGAAUUCCUGGUGUAGCGGUGAAAUGCGUAGAUAUCAGGAGGAACACCGGGGGCGAAGGCGGCUUGCUGGACUGUAACUGACGUUGAGGCUCGAAGGCGUGGGGAGCAAACAGGAUUAGAUACCCUGGUAGUC
rnacentral:rRNA from 1 species